UACGUAGGUGGCGAGCGUUAUCCGGAAUUACUGGGUGUAAAGGGAGCGCAGGCGGGGCGACAAGUCAGCUGUGAAAACUAAUGUGCUUAACUCAUAGACUGCAGUUGAAACUGUUGCUCUUGAGUGGAGUAGAGGCAAGCGGAAUUCCGAGUGUAGCGGUGAAAUGCGUAGAUAUUCGGAGGAACACCAGUGGCGAAGGCGGCUUGCUGGGCUCUAACCGACGCUGAGGCUCGAAAGUGUGGGGAGCGAACAGGAUUA
rnacentral:rRNA from 1 species